AAUUGUUUGUGUGAUGCGUGUUUUCAAUUUUCUUGGUACAUACCUUGAGUAUAUACCUAGGAGUGGAAUUGCUGUGUCAUAUGGUAACUCUAUGGUUAACUUUUUGAGGGAUUGUCCAGCUGUUUUCCAGAAUAACUGCACCAUUUUACAUUCCUAAUAACAAUUUAAAAGAGCUCCAAUUACCCACAGCCUCACCAAUACUUGUUACUAUUAUUCUUUUUCUUUAUAGCUAUUCUAGUGGGUGUGUAGUGGUAUUGUAUCUCUUUCUGGUUUUGCUUUAUAUUUCCCUAUUGACACAGAGUGACAUUGAGCACCUUUUCAUGAGCCCAUCAACAAUUUGUGUAUCUCCUUUGAAAAAAUGUCUGUUCAAAUCCUUUGACCAUUUUUAAAUUGGCUUAUUUGUCUUUUUUAUUUUUCUUUGUUUUUUAGAUAAUGUCUGGCUCUGUUGACCAGGCUGGAGUGCUAUGGUGCCAUCUUGGUGACUGCAACCUCCACCUCCCAGGCUCAAGAGAUGGUGUCAAAAGUGGGGUCUGAAGUGGAGCUUCUCACGACACCCAGGAGUCCUGAGUGAACAAGCAAGGUACCUGCAUGACCCACUUGUCUACAUUGAUCUCUUGGAGCAGCUAGGGAUCAUAAGUAAGUUAUCUCAAUUUUGGAGCUCCACAGAUUUGUGUUUUGAGCUCUCUGAAUUUCUUUGAGCAAAUUUCUGAUCCAAACUGGGUUUGGAAGUUGCAACAGAAACUGGACUGAGUCCAGGAACGGAUUUGAUCUGAUAAUUAACUGGCUUGGAUCCGUUAGAGGCCUCUUAUAUCUGACUGGGUCAGAAAGAAACCGGUAAUAAAUGGUAACAUUGCAGGGGAUGUAAAAUUUGGCUUUUAAAAAUUUGUGGGGAUUUUUGUGUUCUACCCCUUUGUUUCAUUUUUCUUGCAGUAGGAAAAAACCCAUUGGCUAAGUUAAUCAAGGGAACUGGAGAGUAAAACCAAUAUUUUAGGUAAAAAU
rnacentral:lncRNA from 1 species